rnacentral:rRNA from 1 species
UACGUAGGGGGCAAGCGUUAUCCGGAUUUACUGGGUGUAAAGGGAGCGUAGACGGAGUGGCAAGUCUGAUGUGAAAGGCGGGGGCUCAACCCCUGGACUGCAUUGGAAACUGUCAGUCUUGAGUGCCGGAGAGGUAAGCGGAAUUCCUAGUGUAGCGGUGAAAUGCGUAGAUAUUAGGAGGAACACCAGUGGCGAAGGCGGCUUACUGGAUGGUAACUGACGUUGAGGCUCGAAAGCGUGGGGAGCAAACAGG